rnacentral:rRNA from 1 species
AACGAACGCAGGCGGCAUGCCUAACACAUGCAAGUCGAACGAGACCUUCGGGUCUAGUGGCGCACGGGUGCGUAACGCGUGGGAAUCUGCCCUUGGGUUCGGGAUAACAGUUGGAAACGACUGCUAAUACCGGAUGACGUCUUCGGACCAAAGAUUUAUCGCCCAGGGAUGAGCCCGCGUCGGAUUAGCUAGUGGGUAGGGUAAAAGCCUACCAAGGCGACGAUCCGUAGCUGGUCUGAGAGGAUGAUCAGCCACACUGGGACUGAGACACGGCCCCGCAUCCUACGGGAAGCAGCAGUGGGGAAUAUUGGACAAUGGGCGAAAGCCUGAUCCAGCAAUGCCGCGUGAGUGAUGAAGGCCUUAGGGUUGUAAAGCUCUUUUACCCGGGAUGAUAAUGACAGUACCGGGAGAAUAAGCCCCGGCUAACUCCGUGCCAGCCGCCGCGGUAA